UGAACGCUAGCGGCAGGCUUAAUACAUGCAAGUCGUGGGGCAGCAGGUUUGUAGCAAUACAGAUGCUGGCGACCGGCAAACGGGUGCGGAACACGUACAGAACCUUCCUUUGAGCGGGGAAUAGCCCAGAGAAAUUUGGAUUAAUACCCCAUAGUAUAAUGAAGUGGCAUCACUUUAUUAUUAAAGAUUUAUCACUCGAAGAUGGCUGUGCGGCUGAUUAGGUAGUUGGCGGGGUAAAGGCCCACCAAGCCUGCGAUCAGUAACUGGUGUGAGAGCACGACCAGUCACACGGGCACUGAGACACGGGCCCGACUCCUACGGGAGGCAGCAGUAAGGAAUAUUGGUCAAUGGAGGCAACUCUGAACCAGCCAUGCCGCGUGGAGGAUGAAGGUCCUCUGGAUUGUAAACUUCUUUUAUAUGGGACGAAAAAGGCUUUUCUAAGUCGUCUGACGGUACCAUAUGAAUAAGCACCGGCUAACUCCGUG
rnacentral:rRNA from 1 species